GAUGAACGCUAGCGGCAGGCCUAACACAUGCAAGUCGAGGGAGAAGCCCUUCGGGGCAGAAACCGGCGCACGGGUGCGUAACGCGUAUGCAACCUACCUUUCACAGGGGGAUAGCCCGAAGAAAUUUGGAUUAAUACCCCAUAGUAUUGUUGGAUGGCAUCAUUUUGCAAUUAAAACUGAGGUGGUGAGAGAUGGGCAUGCGUCCUAUUAGCUAGUUGGAGUGGUAACGGCACCCCAAGGCUACGAUAGGUAGGGGUCCUGAGAGGGAGAUCCCCCACACUGGUACUGAGACAGGGACCAGACUCCUACGGGAGGCAGCAGUGAGGAAUAUUGGUCAAUGGUCGGAAGACUGAACCAGCCAUGCCGCGUGCAGGAAGAAUGCCUUAUGGGUUGUAAACUGCUUUUAUAUGGGAAGAAUAAAGGAGUAACGAGUACUUUGA
rnacentral:rRNA from 1 species